AUGUUUAUCUGGCAGGGGAAAGACUACAAUCACAAACAUAGUUUCCUAGUGUGAGGCUCAUCCAUUACANUCUGGGUAUGUUGACCCCUUUUAUCUCCCCAAAUACACGAAACUCAACUAGACCAUUUGUGGUUGUGAGAGGCAGCUAGCAUUCAUGCUCUCCCUGU
rnacentral:snRNA from 11 species